rnacentral:rRNA from 1 species
GCCACGGCUAACUACGUGCCAGCAGCCGCGGUAAUACGUAGGUGGCAAGCGUUGUCCGGAGUUUAUUUGGGCGUAAAGCGAAGCGCAGGCGGUUUUAAGGUUCUUGAUGUGAAAGACCUUCGGCUCAACCGAAGAAGUAGCAUCGGAAACUAGGGAAACGUUAGAGUGCAGAAGAGGACAGUGGAACUCCCAUGUGUAGCGGUGAAAUAGCGUAGAUAUAUGGAAGAACACCAGUGGCGAAGGCGGCUGUCUGGUCUGUAACUGACGCUGAGGCUCGAAAGUAUGGGUAGCAAACAGGAUUAGAUACCCUGGUAG